rnacentral:rRNA from 1 species
UAUCAAUAAGCGGAGGAAAAGAAACCAACAGGGAUUGCCUCAGUAACGGCGAGUGAAGCGGCAACAGCUCAAAUUUGAAAUCUGGCGUCCGCCCGAGUUGUAAUUUGCAGAGGAUGCUUCGGGGCCGCGGCCGAUCUAAGUCCUUUGGAACAGGGCGUCAUAGAGGGUGAGAAUCCCGUAUGUGACCGGCUGGCACCCCACACGUAGCUCCUUCGACGAGUCGAGUUGUUUGGGAAUGCAGCUCUAAAUGGGAGGUAAAUUUCUUCUAAAGCUAAAUACCGGCCAGAGACCGAUAGCGCACAAGUAGAGUGAUCGAAAGAUGAAAAGCACUUUGGAAAGAGAGUCAAACAGCACGUGAAAUUGUUGAAAGGGAAGCGCAUGCAACCAGACUUGUCGGCGGUGUUCCCCCGGUCUUCUGACCGGGUCACUCGCCGCCGGCAGGCCAGCAUCGUUUGCGACCGCCGGAGAAAGGCGUAGGAAUGUGGCUCCUCGGAGUGUUAUAGCCCUGCGCACAAUACGGUGCGUCGCGAGCGAGGUCCGCGCUUCGGCUAGGAUGCUGGCGUAAUGGUCGUAUGCGGCCCGUCUUGAAACACGG